GAGAUGGAGUCUCGCUCUGUCGCCCAGGCUGGAAUGCAAUGGUGCAAUCUUGGCUCACUGCAACCUCCGCCUCCUGGGCUCAAGCGAUUCUCCUGCCUCAGCCUCCUGAGUAGCUGGAACUACAGGUGCACACCACCACACCUGGCUAAUUUUUUGUAUUUUGGUAGAGAUGGGGUUUCACUGUGUUGCCCAGGCUGGUCUGGAACUCCUGAGCUCAGGCAAUCUGCCCACCUCAGCCUCCCAAAAUGCUGGGAUUACAGGUGUGAGCCACCGCACCUGGCCCAACUGUUCUAUUUUUAUUAGUUAUAUUGUUAAUCUCUUACCGUGUCUAAUUUAUAAAUUAAACUUUAUUAUAGGUAUACAUGCAUAGGAAAAAAACGUGGUGUAUAUACGGUUCAGCACUAUCCAUGGUUUCAGGCAUCCACUGGGGAGCAACAUAAGCCAGUAUUCUAGGCCCAGCUAUCAGUCCUUGACCUUGCUGUGUAAUCUUGGAAAGUUAUUUAACCUUUCUGAGCCUCAGUUUUCUCAUCUUAAAAUAAGAUUGAUAAUAGUAUCUACUAUUCAUAGGGUGGUAUAAAGUUUAAAGGUAGGAACAGUGCCUGGCACACGAUUCCCCGUAAAUGAUAGUUACUCACAUUGUUAUCACCUGCGUAUUGUUUUGUUUUUCAAAGCACUAUCACAAACACCUGAGACUUCAAAAGUCCUGAAUACAAUCAUUUUCUUUCAAUUGUUUAAUUUCUCAGAUUCUUAGAAUCAUAAACUCAUAUAAUCUAUGAGACUGCUAGCAGUAGGGGAUGGCACUAAGAAAUCAACUCUUCAUUUUGGAAGAGAGACUUUUUUUUUUUUUUUAAACAGAGUCUCACUCUGUCACCCAGGCUGGAGUGCAGUGGUGCGAUCUCGGCUCACUGCAACCUCUACCUCCCAGGUUCAAGCGAUUCUCCUGAUUCAGUCCCAAGUAGCUGGGACUACAGGCAUGUGCCACCACGCCUGGCUAAUUUUUGUAUUUUUAAUAGAGCCAGCUGGGGAUGGUGGCACAUGCCUGUAGUCCCAGCUACUUGGGAGGCUGAGGAGAAUCGCUUGGACUCGUGAGGCGGAGGUUGCAGUGAGCCGAGAUUGUGCCAUUGCACUCAAGCCUGG
rnacentral:lncRNA from 1 species